AGAAUACUUUGUACUGGAUAUUGCAAUGAACUUUAUUUCUGCUGCGUUGAUCAAGUUUUUCUUUUAUCUUGUGAGAAUAUGUUGAUAACUUACUACAAAUAGUAGAUCACAGAAAUUUUGGACUUUUAAUCCUUUUCUUGUGUAAUUUAUAUUUAAACGUUUGAUCCCUUCAUAUCAGUGCAUCAAGUUAGAGUCUAGAAAAAU
rnacentral:misc_RNA from 1 species